GAUGAACGCUGGCGGCGUGCCUAAUACAUGCAAGUCGAGCGAACAGACGAGGAGCUUGCUCCUCUGACGUUAGCGGCGGACGGGUGAGUAACACGUGGAUAACCUACCUAUAAGACUGGGAUAACUUCGGGAAACCGGAGCUAAUACCGGAUAAUAUAUUGAACCGCAUGGUUCAAUAGUGAAAUACGGUUUUGCUGUCACUUAUAGAUGGAUCCGCGCCGCAUUAGCUAGUUGGUAAGGUAACGGCUUACCAAGGCAACGAUGCGUAGCCGACCUGAGAGGGUGAUCGGCCACACUGGAACUUGGACACGGUCCAGACUCCUACGGGAGGCAGCAGUAGGGAAUCUUCCGCAGUGGGCGAAAGCCUGACGGAGCAACGCCGCGUGAGUGAUGAAGGUCUUCGGAUCGUAAAACUCUGUUAUUAGGGAAGAACAAAUGUGUACGUAACUAUGCACGUCUUGACGGUACCUAAUCAGAAAGCCACGGCUAACUACGUG
rnacentral:rRNA from 1 species